CGCAACCCCAGUUCGUGUGGACAGACCUCUGCAUCGAGGACGUGGAGCUUUCAGAAAUGUCAACGUUAUGAAGAGAUUGAGGGUCCGACCCACACCGAAGAAGCCGAAAGGAAGCGACAGGUGAGAUUGUGAGUGGUCCCUUAAACAGAGGAAGAUGCGUCUGGCUAGAGGGCUAACAGGUCCAGGACGUUGCCUGCCCAUCCUGACAGCAGAUUUUUUUAAGCCUUCCGACGCAGCCCCCGCCCCCCUCUCUGAGUGCGGGGUUGGAACCCAGGACCCCAUGCCUGCUCUCUGUCUCAUCCAGAAGGAGAGGGUUCCUGCUCACCAUUGCGACGUCAUUCUGCCAGUGCGUUUUUAACAUAGCCCUGGAAUCCGCCUUGGUGAGAAGAGAGGAUGUUACUGCUUGCAAAUUAUCCCACUGAGUCUCAUUCAGAAUAUCAGUUCAGAACAUCUUUCUUACUAGCAAACAUAUGACCUUUACAAAAGCUUCUAGUGUAUAAAGAUACUUGUCCAUUCUUUAUAACAUGCGUUGGAAUAAAGACUCAGUAUUUAUGUGAUGAUGGAGUUACAUUCUAGAUCCUGUUCAUUUUACAUUUCUAAUAGCCCUUCUUUAUUGAUUAUAAUUAUUUUCAAUUCUGUUCUCAAGUGUAAGUCAACUGUUAACUCUGAUUAUAACUGGAUGUUUCAAACUAUCAUACGGAUUACAAAUUAAUGGAGUGGAUGCUGUAGUUGGGGAUACUUCACAUAUUUCAACAGAAAGUAGAAAUAUAUUUGAUGGUAGAUAAUAGAAUGCUGAUAUUUUUUCCUAAAAAACAAGACUAUCAUUGUUUUAUUAUUUUUAAGAAAUACACAGUAUUCAGUAGUUUCUUGUCAAGAUACAAACUUUUUAUGGUAGAGUUGGAAAAAUAUUUGUAUAUGACAUUGAAAUUACUGUUUUUAAGUGUAAAGGUAUUGGAUAAAAAAAAAGUACUAUUCUCUUUCCAAAUUGUUAUCUUGAAAAGUCACAAAAUUACUCCUGUGAUAUCAUAGCCCAAAUAUUUUUGAGUGAUCAGUCUUUAAAACAUAAGUCAUAUUACACUGGACACCAAUGUAUCUUAGGUGAGCCCCUUUCCUGCUCAGGAUAUUUCUGGUGUUGUCAUCUGUAAUCUAUGACUUGGCCACGCUGUUAGGUUUGGCAUUUGGCUAGUUGGAAGUAGUCACUGCAUAUGUUAAAACCUUUAGAAGAUUUCCACUUUCUACCAUUUAGGGAUCUGUUGUCCUUUUGAUUGUUUCUUCCAUGUCCUACACUAACUGACACUAGCAUAUGAAAUCUGUAGAAACUCCACAAGGUUUUUUCUCACCCAGAAUCACCUUUCAGAGUUCACCAAGUGUGCCUCACAUGGUUGGGGAACAUCAACUCUGCAGCAUCUCUUGGUGAUGCUAAAGCACUCCUGCCAAGGAAAAAGUUGGCAUUUCACCUGCUGCCUGGUUUGGCGGUCAGAGCCUAGGGGGUUGGGCAGGGUUUGGGCUGGAACAGUGAAGCCUUCCCCGUGAGUCUGUGAUCCAGCCUCCACAACCCAGAACUCCAUCUGGGACUCUGACUCACAUCUUGAGAAAAAAUCAGGCGAAAGCCCUUGCCAAACUGAGCAGAAUGACUCCCUUCUGUUUACCUGAACGUAUUUCUUCUUCAGAGAAAGGAGUACAAUGAAUUCAAAUGCCAUCAUGAAAUAUCACUGUUAAAAAAUUUUUAUCAUUGUAGGAAAAAAUUCUAAUAUUCAAAGAAGAUAGGAUCUUAGGUUCUUUAUUCCAUUUUGUUGAAGACUGUUAACAGAAGAAUAAAUUAUUUUUUUUCCUCCGAACUUCAUACCUAUUAAUUUACUUGGGUCACUGACAGCUCUCUCAGUUGAAGAGAAAGUUCUGUAACAAUAAAUGUAACACAACGUUUAACAUGUGCCAGGCACUGUUUUCAAUACUUUUACAUUUUUAGUCAUUUACUUCUCAUAACAGCUCUGUUAAGGUAGGUGCUAAUACUCCCGUUGUACAGAUGAGGAAACUGAGGCUUAAAUAAUGUGUCCAAGUCAUACAGCUAGUAUAUGGCAGAGUCAGGCUUUAAACCUCAGCAUGGAAUCCAUAAGCUGAAAUCCUAACUAACAUCAUGCCACAACAGUGACUAACCAGGUAGAAGAAAAAGCCUUCCCUUUCCAUAGGUGACAGUCUUCUUAUUCUCUUGGUGCAGUCAAGUGAAAUCUUUACCUAAUUCUCCAAGUUCAAAUAAAGAAUUUUAAAAAUGUAGAGCCUAAAAACAUUAAAUUUUAUGAUGAUUCUAAAGAAAGAAAAUAUUUUAGUGUUUAUUUUUUUUUUAUUUUGAGUUUUAUUUAUUUAUUUGUGGUAUUAGGGAUACAACCCAGAACCUCUCUCAUGCUAGGUAUGUUAGGUUUCAAACAAGUUCAAUUUGUGAGCUGUCCUUUCCUG